AACUAACGCUGGCGGCGUGCCUAACACAUGCAAGUCGUACGAGAAAGUUGGCUUCGGCCGAUGAGUAAAGUGGCGCACGGGUGAGUAAUGCGUGGAUAAUCUGCCCUUUAGUUGGGAAUAACGUACCGAAAGGUGCGCUAAUACCUGAUAAUACUGCAUAACUACUGUUGUGUAGUCAAAGAAGGCCUCUGUUUACAAGCUUUUGCUGAAGGAUGAGUCCGCGUACCAUUAGCUGGUUGGUGGGGUAAUGGCCUACCAAGGCUACGAUGGUUAGCUGGUCUGAGAGGAUGAUCAGCCACACUGGAACUGAGACACGGUCCAGACUCCUACGGGAGGCAGCAGUGAGGAAUAUUGCGCAAUGGGGGAAACCCUGACGCAGCAACGCCGCGUGAGUGAGGAAGGCCUUCGGGUCGUAAAGCUCUGUCAGAUGGGAAGAAAUGGGUGGGGCGUAAGUAUCGCCCAUCCUUGACGGUACCGAUCAGAGGAAGACG
rnacentral:rRNA from 1 species